UACGGGGGGGGGCAAGCGUUGUUCGGAAUUACUGGGCGUAAAGGGCUCGUAGGUGGUCAACUAAGUCAUACGUGAAAUCCCUCGGCUUAACCGGGGAACUGCGUCUGAUACUGGAUGGCUUGAGUUUGGGAGAGGGAUGCGGAAUUCCAGGUGUAGCGGUGAAAUGCGUAGAUAUCUGGAGGAACACCGGUGGCGAAGGCGGCAUCCUGGACCAACACUGACGCUGAUGAGCGAAAGCUAGGGGAGCAAACGGG
rnacentral:rRNA from 1 species